GGGGAUGUGGCUCAAAUGGUAGAGCGCUUGCCUGGCAUGCGUGCGGCCUGGGUUCAAUCCUCAGCACCA
rnacentral:tRNA from 1 species